CUCUCGUCCCACUGAUUUUCUUUCCCCCCUCCCGGUUUUCUCCCUCACGGUUUUCAAGAGGCUUGCAUCUCACGCCGGCGUCCAGCGCCACCGCUACCGACCUCCAGCCUUCGUCCCGUAACUCCUCCCGCGCGCCCUAUCUCUCUUCUUCUCCCUUCUCCCUUCCCGACCUCUCUCUCACAAAUCUUGUCUCUGGGCCAUGGAUCCCGAUGGAGCACCAUGGAUCCCGAUGUGGAGCUCCACUGCGGCCAGAUCUGACCUGGGAGCGGCCAGAUCCGUGCGUCUCGAGCGACGCCACACCACAUCCUUCGUCCUCGCAGCCGCCGCCGAUCCCCUCCCUCAAACGCCGCCGCCCGUCGCGGCCGCCCCCGCCACCUCCCGUCGCGGCCGCCCCCGCCACCCCCCGUCGCGGGCAGGCGGGAGGAGCCCUGCCCGGCCAUGGCGACACCGCCGGCGGCUUCCUCCUCCCCCUCACCUUCUCUCCCUCUCCCAAGGGAGGGAAGGGAAUGGAGGGGAUCCGGCGGCAAGGGGGGGCAGCGCCCAGAUCCGCAGCCGCACCGGCGGGCCGCCGUCCCUCGAGAUCGUCCAUGGAGGUCCGACCCGGCUGCAGCCAUGGACUGAGAUGCCCAAAACCCUAGCUAACCGUGGAGGUCCGACGCCUCAACCUCCAAGGAAAGGACGCGCGCCGACUGCAGGCCGUCUCCGGCGACCUCCGACCAUGGUUGCUCGGAUCUGGACCAGCUGCUGCUCCUACUGCUUCAGGUGGACGAGGACGAGCCCUCCCUCAUGGCUGCUGCGGCUGCCUACUCCCUCCUCCUACCCCCUGGCCUGGUGUGGUGAGCUCCACCCCCUUCCCUGCACAUCUCAUCUUUUGAUUGCAAAUGGUCUGGACACAACUUGGUGGUGUUUGCUAAUGUGCUCCUUUUGUGAAUUAAGAUCAUUCAGAGAUGAACAUGACUGUAGCUUGCAUUGCAUGUACGGUGGUGUACCUCUUGAGUCGGAGAAUAUCUCAGAAUUCAUUGACUUGCAGCUAUGGCAAUGACUAACACAGUUUUUCUUUCUGUUUCGUUCCAACAUUCUGGUUGGUACUGGUGAAGAUUUUCUUCUUCAAUAAAAUACAUAGAAGCAAAUCAGAUUGGUCGCAAAUAUCAUGCUACUUCAGCAGAAAUUAUGUUUUCCAACUGAAAUCAUUUUUUGCUUACUAGGCGCUAGCUAUCCCUGACAACAAGGAAAGAGAUGCAGGCAAGAGGAAGAAAGCCUCUCCCAAGCUCUGUCUAUGCGAUGCACGGGCAAUCCGGAAACUGUCAAGGAGGUGUCGAAUGAUGAAUAUAUUCAGAUACCGAGACAUGUUCUAAAACGUGUUUUGGCAGGCAUUCUGGAUCAUACUAAGAUACUUCGGAGAGAUGUCCCAGAUUUAUUCUUUUGAAUUUCACUAAUUUCUUUCCAUGGCUUCAAAUUCACCAGUGAUGGGGCUGCCGCCAACUUGGGGCUGCUCAAGAACAGUGACUCUACAGGAGGGGGAUGGAGUUUCGGAAUCUCCUGUGCUAUUGGGAGCGACAGUUCCACAAUGAGAUGGUCUUUCGUCACCUCUGAGUAGGAGGAUGUCCAAGGCCGGGAUCGUUCGUCACCACUGAGCUGCGGCUGAGAUAAUACUAUUGCUCAGUCCAGAUCUGGAUAUCUCAUCUCUGAACAUUUGAAAUGCCGAGUACUCCAUGAAAGCUUGCCUAGCCGCUUUCUUGCAACAUUAUAUCUUUGGACGUUUGCACUUCCGCGGCUCUAGACAUGAGCUUCCUUAUAUGGUUGCGAACCGGAUGUGCCGUCGACGACGAUGGCGAGUUUGGAUUGGGAAUGCGAAGAUGAGAAGAUAGUUGGGGACGAAGAAGGUAUAAAAUCGAAAAUAUCAUCUGAUGUGCGUGAGGAUCCUAAUGGUACAUGCUUGAUGCGAUCGGUGCUAACCUAAUAAGAUAUAUGCGGUGGCGCGAGGUAGGGGCGGCAAUGAGGCGGUUGUGCUACAUGAGGCAGCCAAGACCGAGGCUGCAUCGGGGAGGCUCCCGUUGGGGCAACGCAUGGGCGGCAGCCACCCCCAAGACCCUGUUAGCACAAUGUCAUAACAAUAUAUUUAUACUGAUUGUUGUGCAAAGGAGAAGGCUAUUGUUUGUAGUUAUAUUAGUUUAUUUCCUCAGUAUACAAUGACCUGGCUUAUUCUAUGUCAAAGAGGAAGGAAACAUAUAUUUCUAGGUGUUAUGUGACUCAUGCUAUUGUAGCCAUAAAAAGAAAGGCCAUCAUGGAGUAUAUAUAACAUCGUCUUGCUAUUA